GUUCGGCGCCAUUGCGAAAUUUUCAGCGCGCUUCUGCGGGUUUUCAACUGGGCGAUCGACACUUUUUUAAAGUACUUUUUGGAGAGGGAUGAAAGAAAAUGACAAGUAUACCAAUAUUUCUAACUCUGUGGAUACUUGUGGUGUUUGCUGGCCCCUCUGAUGAGGAUAUUUUAAUGAUCAAAGUACGAACAAAACUCGAAAAAAGCCCGAAAACUUGAAGUUUGAGAUUUGAUUUACUGGAAAUCAAGAUGUGCAGAUGAGACGGGAAACCUUGAAGUCACAUUGGACACAAGGCUCUAAAAAAUGUUCCAGCUUCAGGAUUGAGUUGCUCUUACAACAACCUUCGGCGAAUUCGAUUUUGGGAGGUUGAGGUGGAUUUUCCAAGUCAUGGCUCACAACUGUCUUUGGCCCUUUUGCUCUCCAAGUCUGUUGAACAUGGUAGCUUUCAAACUGCUAUGUUUGAGCCUUGUAAUCCAUUCUUCUAGUCUCGCAUAACCAUCCUUUCUAGAUAUUUGACAUAGUGGCUGACAUUUUCAGAGGAACUGGUCACAAUAAUGCCCCCCUGGAGACCAUGUGUGUGACUUU